UACGUAGGGUGCGAGCGUUGUCCGGAAUUAUUGGGCGUAAAGAGCUCGUAGGCGGUGUGUCACGUCGUUCGUGAAAACCUGCAGCUUAACUGUGGGCGUGCGGUCGAUACGGGCAUCACUGGAGUUCGGCAGGGGAGACUGGAAUUCCUGGUGUAGCGGUGAAAUGCGCAGAUAUCAGGAGGAACACCGGUGGCGAAGGCGGGUCUCUGGGCCGAAACUGACGCUGAUGCGCGAAAGCUAGGGGAGCAAACAGG
rnacentral:rRNA from 1 species